rnacentral:rRNA from 1 species
GAUGAACGCUGGCGGCGUGCCUAAUACAUGCAAGUCGAGCGAACAGACGAGGAGCUUGCUCCUCUUACGUUAGCGGCGGACGGGUGAGUAACACGUUGAUAACCUACCUAUAAGACUGGGAUAACUUCGGGAAACCGGAGCUAAUACCGGAUAAUAUAUUGAACCGCAUGGUUCAAUAGUGAAAGACGGUUUUGCUGUCACUUAUAGAUGGAUCCGCGCCGCAUUAGCUAGUUGGUAAGGUAACGGCUUACCAAGGCAACGAUGCGUAGCCGACCUGAGAGGGUGAUCGGCCACACUGGAACUGAGACACGGUCAAGACUCCUAAGGGAGGCAGCAGUAGGGAAUCUUCCGCAAUGGGCGAAAGCCUGACGGAGCAACGCCGCGUGAGUGAUGAAGGUCUUCGGAUCGUAAAACUCUGUUAUUAGGGAAGAACAAAUGUGUAAGUAACUAUGCACGUCUUGACGGUACCUAAUCAGAAAGCCACGGCUAACUACGUG